rnacentral:rRNA from 1 species
CGGGUGAGUAACGCGUGGGUAACCUGCCUUGUACUGGGGGACGAACAGUUGGAAACGACUGCUAAUACCGCAUAAGCGCACAGCUUCGCAUGAAGCAGUGUGAAAAACUCCGGUGGUACAAGAUGGACCCGCGUCUGAUUAGCUGGUUGGUGAGGUAACGGCUCACCAAGACUGCGAUCGGUAGCCGGACUGAGAGGUUGAACGGCCACAUUGGGACUGAGACACGGCCCAG